UGCUUUGGACUGCGUUUCAGUUCCUACUC
rnacentral:piRNA from 1 species